AGAGCGAACGCUGGCGGCAUGCUUAACACAUGCAAGUCGCACGGGCAGGGGAAACCCUGUCAGUGGCGGACGGGUGAGUAACGCGUAGGUAUCUAUCCUUGGGUGGGGGACAACUGUGGGAAACUACAGCUAAUACCGCAUGAUGACCGAGGUCCAAAGGCCGCAAGGCCGCCUGGGGAGGAGCCUGCGUACGAUUAGCUAGUUGGUGGGGUAACUGCCUACCAAGGCGACGAUCGUUAGCUGGUCUGAGAGGAUGAUCAGCCACAUUGGGACUGAGACACGGCCCAAACUCCUACGGGAGGCAGCAGUGGGGAAUAUUGGACAAUGGGCGCAAGCCUGAUCCAGCAAUGCCGCGUGGGUGAAGAAGGUCUUCGGAUUGUAAAGCCCUUUCGACGGGACGAUGAUGACGGUACCCGUAGAAGAAGCCCCGGCUAACUUCGCGCCAGCCAGCCGC
rnacentral:rRNA from 1 species